AGCAGCACGCAGCUAAAAGGAAGACUCACAGAAGACAGUUGAAGAAGGAAAGUGGCGAUGGACCUCAUCCCAAAUUUGGCGGUGGAAACCUGGCUUCUCCUGGCUGUCAGCCUGGUGCUCCUCUAUCUAUAUGGGACCCGUACACAUGGACUUUUUAAGAGACUGGGAAUUCCAGGGCCCACACCUCUGCCUUUGUUGGGAAAUGUUUUGUCCUAUCGUCAGGGUCUCUGGAAAUUUGACACAGAAUGUUAUAAAAAGUAUGGAAAAAUGUGGGGAACGUAUGAUGGUCAACUCCCUGUGCUGGCCAUCACAGAUCCCGACAUGAUCAAAACAGUGCUAGUGAAAGAAUGUUAUUCUGUCUUCACAAAUCGAAGGUCUUUAGGCCCAGUGGGAUUUAUGAAAAGUGCCAUCUCUUUAGCUGAGGAUGAAGAAUGGAAGAGAAUACGGUCAUUGCUGUCUCCAACCUUCACCAGCGGAAAACUCAAGGAGAAAAGACAUCACAAAAUUCAUUACAAAAAUGUCACUUACUGCUCCAUGCUGGAGAAAGCCAUGUCCUUUGGGACUUGAGUCUGCACAUUUAACUA
rnacentral:sRNA from 1 species